AAGCGGCAGCGUCUGCGCGGCCAUGGGUGGGUGUGUACAUGUGUGUCCUCGUGUGCAGGGUGAACACACGUGCCCAGGCGUGUUUACACGUGCAUAGAGCUGCCAACAUGUGUAUGAGUACAGGCCCGAAUUCCCUGUUGGAGCACGGGGCUGAGCCGGGAAUAGCGCGGGAGCGGAGCCAAAUCGUGACGGCUAAACAUUUGCACCCUGGCUUGAACAAGAUACCCCAC